rnacentral:rRNA from 1 species
GUGCCAGCAGCCGCGGCAAUACGGAGGGUGCAAGCGUUAUCCGGAUUCACUGGGUUUAAAGGGUGCGUAGGUGGGCAGGUAAGUCAGUGGUGAAAUCUCCGGGCUUAACCCGGAAACUGCCGUUGAUACUAUCUGUCUUGAAUGUAGUGGAGGUGAGCGGAAUAUGUCAUGUAGCGGUGAAAUGCUUAGAUAUGACAUAGAACACCGAUUGCGAAGGCAGCUCGCUAAACUUAUAUUGACGCUGAGGCACGAAAGCGUGGGGAUCAAACAGGAUUAGAAACCCUGGUAGUCCACGCCCUAAACGAUGAUUACUCGAUAUUAGCGAUACACUGUUAGGGUCUAUGUGAAAACAUUAAGUAAUCCACCUGGGGAGUACGACCGCAAGGUUGAAACUCAAAGGAAUUGACGG